rnacentral:rRNA from 1 species
GACGAACCGUGCAAACGUUGUUCGGAAUCACUGGGCUUAAAGGGCGCGUAGGCGGGCAAGCAAGUCCGGGGUGAAAUCUUUCGGCCCAACCGGAAAAGGGCCUUGGAUACUGCUUGUCUGGAGGGAGGUAGGGGCAGACGGAGCUUCCGGUGGAGCGGUGAAAUGCGUUGAUAUCGGAAGGAACGCCGGUGGCGAAAGCGGUCUGCUGGACCUCUACUGACGCUGAGGCGCGAAAGCCAGGGGAGCGAACGGG